GAGAGAGGCUGGACGGCUGACGGGCCUUUAGGUCUGAGGAAAGUCUCCCCACCGCUCCGGAUACACGAACAUCUGUAAAGGAUGUCGGGCGAGAGCCCGGGCCCUGGCACAGAAACGAGCACCAUUCCCUGAAAGUGCGAUGAUGCAAAUAGCUGAGG
rnacentral:RNase_P_RNA from 1 species